rnacentral:rRNA from 1 species
AUUGAACGCUGGCGGCAUGCCUUACACAUGCAAGUCGAACGGUAACGCGGGGCAACCUGGCGACGAGUGGCGAACGGGUGAGUAAUGUAUCGGAACGUGCCCAGUAGUGGGGGAUAGCCCGGCGAAAGCCGGAUUAAUACCGCAUACGACCUAAGGGUGAAAGCGGGGGAUCGCAAGACCUCGCGCUAUUGGAGCGGCCGAUAUCAGAUUAGCUAGUUGGUGGGGUAGAAGCCUACCAAGGCGACGAUCUGUAGCUGGUCUGAGAGGACGACCAGCCACACUGGGACUGAGACACGGCCCAGACUCCUACGGGAGGCAGCAGUGGGGAAUUUUGGACAAUGGGCGAAAGCCUGAUCCAGCCAUGCCGCGUGCGGGAAGAAGGCCUUCGGGUUGUAAACCGCUUUUGUCAGGGAAGAAAAGGCUCGAACUAAUACUUUGGGCUCAUGACGGUACCUGAAGAAUAAGCACCGGCUAACUACGUGCCAGCCGCCGCGGUAAAAC